rnacentral:lncRNA from 1 species
ACGUUUCUCAUCUCAGAUUUAUUUCUCUUCUUCCAUCUUCUCUCUCGCUUUUUCCUCUCGUCUUCUUUAUAUCGAUCACUCUCCUCUCUCUUUUUCUCUUACAUCUCUAUCUUGCUUCUCCAUCAAGCACAAAGGUCGGCGACCGAGAGAGCAGGAGUGGAGCGACGGAGGAAGUGGUUGAGGCGGCAGCGGCGGGGUAUUGUAUGGCGGAGAAACAGGUUUUUCUUUUCUCUUUUUUUUUUUAUAAGAUUUGCUAAUUUUUUUCAUUUUUUGUACAGAUCUGUGAUUAAAAGUAUAUGUUGACUAAUUGUAUAUGUUUUUAUUGUUUUUUUAAGAAUUUUGGCUUGGUUUUGGAUCUGAUUUGCUAUUUUUAUUCGAUUUGUUGUAGGUUAUUGAACGUUUUUAGGGCAACGAUUGCGUGGCGGCACACGUUAGGGUUCAAAAUUCCAGAUCUAGGUUUUUCAACAGAUGGUAGGUGAUUAUGGGUGCCGACGGCUGCAGUUGUCGCGCUGCUAGGGUUUGACGGCGGCUGCGUCGAUUGCUAGGGUUGGCGACGGCUAGGAGUUGUUGGCGGCUAGGGUUUGGAAUAGUACACUGUAGUAUACUAUAGUACUGCGUAGUAUACCACAGUACACCGUAGUAUACUACAAGUUGAUGCACUGUAUAUGAAUAUCCAUAUAUGAAUAGCAGAUGAUGCACUGUAUAUGAAUAGCAAGACAAUGUGCGAAGAAGUAAAACUCCAGUUUUAUAUGCCUACAAGCAUGAUAAUGACUACGGUAAAUAUAGAUAACUGCAGUUAUUGAU